rnacentral:rRNA from 1 species
GACGAACGCUGGCGGCGUGCUUAACACAUGCAAGUCGAACGGUGAAGCGCUUUCCUUUUUGGUUGGUGUGGAUGAGUGGCGAACGGGUGAGUAACACGUGAGUAACCUGCCCCCUUCUUCUGGAUAACCGCAUGAAAGUGUGGCUAAUACGGGAUAUUCUGCGCCUGCUGCAUGGUGGGUGUGGGAAAGAUUGUGCCUUUGGGUGUUUUCGGUGGGGGAUGGGCUCGCGGCCUAUCAGCUUGUUGGUGGGGUGAUGGCCUACCAAGGCGGUGACGGGUAGCCGGCCUGAGAGGGUGGACGGUCACACUGGGACUGAGACACGGCCCAGACUCCUACGGGAGGCAGCAGUGGGGAAUAGUGCACAAUGGGCGCAAGCCUGAUGCAGCGACGCCGCGUGAGGGAUGGAGGCCUUCGGGUUGUGAACCUCUUUCGCCAGUGAAGCAGGCCUGCUCCUUGUGGGUGGGUUGACGGUAGCUGGAGAAGAAGCGCCGGCUAACUACGUG